CAGUCGCCACGGUAAUACGAAGGGGGCUAGCGUUGUUCGGAUUUACUGGGCGUAAAGGGCGCGUAGGCGGGCGAAUAAGUCAGGGGUGAAAUCCCAAGGCUCAAUCUUGGAACUGCCUUUGAUACUGUUUGUCUUGAGUUCGAGAGAGGUAAGUGGAACUGCGAGUGUAGAGGUGAAAUUCGUAGAUAUUCGCAAGAACACCAGUGGCGAAGGCGGCUUACUGGCUCGAAACUGACGCUGAGGCGCGAAAGCGUGGGGAGCAAACAGGAUUAGAUACCCCAGUAGUCCCUGUCUCUUAUAC
rnacentral:rRNA from 1 species